AUUGAACGCUGGCGGCAUGCCUAACACAUGCAAGUCGAACGAGUGGCGGACGGGUGAGUAAUGUCUGGGAACCUGCCCGAUGGCGGGGGAUAACUACUGGAAACGGUGGCUAAUACCGCAUAGCCUUGGCUGUGCCCAGAUGGGAUUAGCUAGUAGGUGGGGUAACGGCUCACCAAGGCGACGAUCCCUAGCUGGUCUGAGAGGAUGACCAGCCACACUGGAACUGAGACACGGCCCAGACUCCUACGGGAGGCAGCAGUGGGGAAUAUUGCACAAUGGGCGAAAGCCUGAUGCAGCCAUGCCGCGUGUAUGAAGAAGGCCUUCGGGUUGUAAAGUACUUUCAGCGAGGAGGCGUUACUCGCAGAAGAAGCACCGGCUAACUCCGUGCCAGCAGCCGCGGUAAUUC
rnacentral:rRNA from 1 species